GCUGCGAUUGCUCAGUUGGUUAGAGCAUGUGACUCUGUAUCACAGGGUCGAAAGUUCAAGUCUUCCUUUUAGAG
rfam:Glycine max cultivar Williams 82 chromosome 12, whole genome shotgun sequence.